rnacentral:lncRNA from 1 species
AUAAUGCCUUCCCUGGACAUUCUUCAGAAAUGAAGGGCCGGCGGCGGCGGGGUGGCUCAGUCCCCAGUCUCAGACGCGCCGCGCAGCAGGUCGGAGCAGCCUCCCCGGGAGGAUGUCCAGCGGCAGCGCUCCUCGCUCCAGCCCUUGGGGAUCUUCCGCUGAGGCAUUGAAGGCAGGAAGAAGGGGUCCGUCAUCGGCUCGCCGGGCUGCGCGCCACCUCUGCUAUCUUGCGGAAAGAGGAGCGGGAGGAUGCAGCCGCAAAUCCCGAGCCGGAUCCUCGUGCCGGACGGAAGGCGUGGAAGCGGGAGGGGCCUUCGUGUGAAAAUCCCUUGUGGGGUUUGGUGUUUCACUUUUUAAAGGACGCGACCCACGCAGACCACAGCCGAGCCCGCCGGACCCCGGGACUACGGAAGCCAUCCCGUCCGGCCACCCACACCCGCGCCGCGGCUGGGGCUUGGGUUGGGGACUGUGGCGGCGAAGAAGCCGGGGAGUCUGGAAGGGAUUCAGAGUCUCACACGCGCCCCCAAGCCUCCUACCACCACACCAAAGUGCUGGUUCCUCGAUUUCCAGGGUGGGGUAAAGUGACCGAGCAAAGGGGAUGGUGUGUUUGUGUGUGCGCGCGCAUAUACGCGCGCGCGUGUUGUGCAUCCGUGUAAUGAAAGUUGGGUCAUGGGUCAACCCGGGAGUAGAGCGAGAUGGAGACCUAAAGAGAGAAAGCUGAGAGAAGGGGGAAGACAUGGACAGGGUAAGAGAGAGAGAAAGGAGAGAGAGAAGAAAGGGAAAAGAGGAGCGGGGAGAGAAAAGAGAGGCAGGAGAGAGAAUGAGGGGACAGAAGAGAGUAGGGAGACGAGAAGGCGGAGGACAGAAGAAAUGGGGGAGAGGGAAGAGGACAGAGAGGCUGCGCGCCUCUGAAUACGCCAAGUCCAGCAGAGCUGGAGGCCUGUGAGAGGAGCUGCAAGCUUGAGCAAAGGGAGAGAGGUGAGCGGAUGAAGGGAGAUUGGCAGCCAUGCAGAACUGCAUACAACUUAGGAUUCAUAACUACAUAUAUACGGAUAGAAGUGCAUGAACAGAAAAUCUGCCCUUCUGGAAUACCAAAUGCAAAAUUAAAGUGACUACAAGCAGAAUUUGGAGAAAAAAAUAAAAGAUGCAAUAUAGUUUUUAAAAUCAUUGUUAAAAUAUAAUGAGUCUGUACUUUGCUUAAACAA